CUACGGGGUGCUCCAGUGAGGAAUAUUGCACAAUGGGGGGAACCCUGAUGCAGCAACGCCGCGUGGAGGAUGACGCAUUUCGGUGUGUAAACUCCUUUUAUAUGUCAAGAAAAUGACGGUAGCAUAUGAAUAAGCACCGGCUAACUCCGUGCCAGCAGCCGCGGUAAUACGGAGGGUGCAAGCGUUACUCGGAAUCACUGGGCGUAAAGGACGCGUAGGCUGGUUGGUAAGUCAGGUGUGAAAUCCUACAGCUUAACUGUAGAACUGCACUUGAAACUACCAACCUAGAGUAUGGGAGGGGGAGAUGGAAUUAGUGGUGUAGGGGUAAAAUCCGUAGAUAUCACUAGGAAUACCGAAAGCGAAGGCGAUCUCCUGGAACAUAACUGACGCUAAGGCGUGAAAGCGUGGGGAGCAAACAGGAUUAGAUACCCCGGUAGUC
rnacentral:rRNA from 1 species